CGGGAGGUAGCUCAGCUUGGUAGAGCACUUGGUUUGGGACCAAGGGGUCGCAGGUUCGAAUCCUGUCUUCCCGA
rnacentral:tRNA from 1 species